rnacentral:lncRNA from 1 species
UGAUGUAAUGGCGGGAAGAAGGUUUGUUUCUCUCUCUCUCUUGCUGUUUGGGCCUUGCUCUUUUUUAGCCAGCCAUAAAUGAUGACCCAGCCUUGUGAUGCUGCCUCGGAGCCAACUGAGUAUGGACUGAAACCUCAGAGAGCUGUAAGAAAUGAAUCUUUCCUUCCCUAACUUUGGGUGUCAGGUAUUUUGUCUCAACAAGGAGUAAAAAGUAAGACAAGAAGAGACAGAAAAUAGAAGGUCAUAGCUGAAUGCAGAAAGGAAGGCCGGGCUGUGUGGAAGGAAGCCGGCAGAGGUUGGGCUGAAAGCUGAGAAUAUAAAGGAAAUGACCAACACACCAACUUCGUCCUCCGUACAUAAGCUGUAUCCAGCUGCAUUAGAGGACUCCCCAACCACCCAAAGAUUUGGUUUGCAUGCGGUGUGAGCAUCCAGAUUAUACAGACUGCUCUCAGUGUGGUGAAGAGUAUUGGGUUCAGCAUCCUCACAGCAAAAGGGUGGGCCCACUUUACCUCACGCUGGAAGACUGGCAUCAGGUGCCAUGCUCAUCAUGGUGUUCUCAUAUCAGAAGAUGGGUACCUGGUGUGGGGCUUGGCUUGCUCUCGGGUCAGGAUCAGGUGUUGCUGUUCUGCACUGCAGUUGAUACGAGUAGUGGCUCCCUGAAAGGAUCAUCAACCCAUGGCCAUGUUAUAUGCAGGGAAAUCGUAUUCCCAAAGAGGCAAAAUGUGGAACUCCACAAGGAAAGGACGAAUCUAAAUUUACUUUUUUGA